UUGAGUUUGAUCCUGGCUCAGGACGAACGCUGGCGGCAUGCCUAAUACAUGCAAGUCGAACGAGCUUCCGUUGAAUGACGUGCUUGCACUGAUUUCAACAAUGAAGCGAGUGGCGAACUGGUGAGUAACACGUGGGAAAUCUGCCCAGAAGCAGGGGAUAACACUUGGAAACAGGUGCUAAUACCGUAUAACAACAAAAUCCGCAUGGAUUUUGUUUGAAAGGUGGCUUCGGCUAUCACUUCUGGAUGAUCCCGCGGCGUAUUAGUUAGUUGGUGAGGUAAAGGCCCACCAAGACGAUGAUACG
rnacentral:rRNA from 1 species